AGUCGAGCGGAUGAGUGGAGCUUGCUCCAUGAUUCAGCGGCGGACGGGUGAGUAAUGCCUAGGAAUCUGCCUGGUAGUGGGGGACAACGUUUCGAAAGGAACGCUAAUACCGCAUACGUCCUACGGGAGAAAGCAGGGGACCUUCGGGCCUUGCGCUAUCAGAUGAGCCUAGGUCGGAUUAGCUAGUAGGUGAGGUAAAGGCUCACCUAGGCGACGAUCCGUAACUGGUCUGAGAGGAUGAUCAGUCACACUGGAACUGAGACACGGUCCAGACUCCUACGGGAGGCAGCAGUGGGGAAUAUUGGACAAUGGGCGAAAGCCUGAUCCAGCCAUGCCGCGUGUGUGAAGAAGGUCUUCGGAUUGUAAAGCACUUUAAGUUGGGAGGAAGGGCAGUAAGUUAAUACCUUGCUGUUUUGACGUUACCAACAGAAUAAGCACCGGCUAACUUCGUGCCAGCAGCCGCGGUAAUACGAAGGGUGCAAGCGUUAAUCGGAAUUACUGGGCGUAAAGCGCGCGUAGGUGGUUCAGCAAGUUGGAGGUGAAAUCCCCGGGCUCAACCUGGGAACUGCCUCCAAAACUACUGAGCUAGAGUACGGUAGAGGGUAGUGGAAUUUCCUGUGUAGCGGUGAAAUGCGU
rnacentral:rRNA from 1 species